AACGAACGCUGGCGGCAUGCCUAACACAUGCAAGUCGAACGAAGCCUUCGGGCUUAGUGGCGCACGGGUGCGUAACGCGUGGGAAUCUGCCCCUUGCUUCGGAAUAACAGUUAGAAAUGACUGCUAAUACCGGAUGAAGUCUUCGGACCAAAGAUUUAUCGGCAAGGGAUGAGCCCGCGUAGGAUUAGGUAGUUGGUGGGGUAAAGGCCUACCAAGCCGACGAUCCUUAGCUGGUCUGAGAGGAUGAUCAGCCACACUGGGACUGAGACACGGCCCAGACUCCUACGGGAGGCAGCAGUGGGGAAUAUUGGACAAUGGACGCAAGUCUGAUCCAGCAAUACCGCGUGAGUGAUGAAGGCCUUAGGGUUGUAAAGCUCUUUUACCAGGGAUGAUAAUGACAGUACCUGGAGAAUAAGCUCCGGCUAACUCCGUG
rnacentral:rRNA from 1 species